GGUGUGGAGGAGUGCUUAGGAGCCCAGCGAGGGUGCCUACAAGAGGAGUCAAAGGGCAAAGGAUGAAAAAAUUGAGGCUCAAAGAAGUCCACCAAAUUGAGAGUGAAGUAGGGGAAACAGCAUUUAACGCUUACAUUCUAAUGAUUUGUGUAAGAGCAGCAGGACAAGCUAUACAAAGAAAAAGGUGGAAUUAUCAGGAUGGAAUUAAAGAUGCUUCCAAACAGAGGGGAUAUCUCAAGCCAUGACUCAGAGGUAAGAGUAAGAGACUAUGAUGUGCACAGGAGCUGUUUAAAAAGUUCACUCACCUCUACUCAUUCAUAGAGACACAUUUCAAAUACCACCUCCUAUCAGAAGCCCCCAUAAAUUAUCACCAUAACAUUCUCUCCAUUCCUCCUUGAGGGAGGUAAAAUGUAACAAUUAUCAGAUAAAAAGAUCUUUAGGAACCUAAAACUCAAAAGAUAGUUCAUUUUAGGAAUGAAAAUGGGUCUGCAGCCUGUGUGAACCCAUAAAUCAUGGUAUUAUAGGACCAGUGCUCUUCCUGCCAACAUUUUCCCUAACUGCCAGCUUGUGGGUGCCAAGCACUCUCUUGCAUUAUAGGAUUUAACACAGGACCUGACUUAAUAUAGCAAUGUUUUCUUAUCAUGUCUCAUCAUUUCUUCUUUCUUCUGGAUACACCAACGUUUUGUCCUCCUUUUUUUUUUUUCUGUUGUAAAUGGGAAAAAGCUUGAAAAAGACUCGAUGGCUAUCAUUUCAAUACAUAGAAUAAAUAGUUCCAUUCAAUUUAUUUCAAUUGAAUAGAC
ensembl:lncRNA novel transcript